rnacentral:rRNA from 1 species
GAUGAACGCUGGCGGCGUGCCUAAUACAUGCAAGUCGAGCGAACAGACGAGGAGCUUGCUCCUCUGACGUUAGCGGCGGACGGGUGAGUAACACGUGGAUAACCUACCUAUAAGACUGGGAUAACUUCGGGAAACCGGAGCUACUACCGGAUAAUAUAUUGAACCGCAUGGUUCAAUAGUGAAAGACGGUUUUGCUGUCACUUAUAGAUGGAUCCGCGCCGCAUUAGCUAGUUGGUAAGGUAACGGCUUACCAAGGCAGCGAUGCGUAGCCGACCUGAGAGGGUGAUCGGCCACACUGGAACUGAGACACGGUCCAGACUCCUACGGGAGGCAGCAGUAGGGAAUCUUCCGCAAUGGGCGAAAGCCUGACGGAGCAACGCCGCGUGAGUGAUGAAGGUCUUCGGAUCGUAAAACUCUGUUAUUAGGGAAGAACAAAUGUGUAAGUAACUAUGCACGUCUUGACGGUACCUAAUCAGAAAGCCACGGCUAACUACGUG